GCCACGUUCAAAGCCACUCAAAAUCAAAAAUCUCUCUCAAUGAAAAAAAGCUAAAAAAUAAUCAAUAAACCCAAUUCAAGAAGAAGAAGGAGAAAAGAAUGGCUUUUCUUCUACCAAACCUCUCUCCUUCUCUCCUCCUCAACUCCAAAUCCUCUUCUCCAAGAGAAAGAGAGAAACCCAUCAAUUGCCAAGCCCAAAACCAAACACUUUCUACUCAUUUUCAAUCAACAACAGCUAUUUCCACAACCAUAUCAUCAACUAAAACAAAACCCUCUAAUACUAACACCUCCCUUUCUCCUUCUCCACCCCAGGGUGCGCAGGUUAAGACCCCAUUAGGUUACCAGGACGAGCAGCAGCACCAAAGAGAUGACUUCUAUGUCAACCUUGGCCUAGCUGUACGUACACUCCGUGAGGAUUUACCUUUGUUGUUCACCAAGGACCUUAAUUAUGAUAUUU
rnacentral:misc_RNA from 1 species